rnacentral:rRNA from 1 species
AUACGUAGGGGGCGAGCGUUGUCCGGAUUUACUGGGCGUAAAGGGUGAGUAGGCGGUUAUAUAUGUCAGGUGUAAAAAGCUAUGGCUUAACCAUAGUAAGCACUUGAAACUGUGUGACUUGAGUACAGGAGAGGUAAGCGGAAUUCCUAGUGUAGCGGUGAAAUGCGUAGAUAUUAGGAGGAACACCGGUGGCGAAGGCGGCUUACUGGACUGUAACUGACGCUGAGUCACGAAAGCGUGGGUAGCAAACAGGAUUAGAUACCCUGGUAGUCCACGCCGUAAACGAUGAGUGCUAGGUGUUGGGCAGCAAUGCUCAGUGCCGAAGUAAACACAAUAAGCACUCCGCCUGGGGAGUACGUACGCAAGUAUGAAACUCAAAUGAAUUGACGGGG